UGUAAUGUCAGCCACACUUCUCAAUGCUAAGUACUUGGUCCUCAGCUCAAUCCUUAUUCUCUAAAAGAGGAUCAAGAGUACCUGGAUUCUAAUGUAGAGAAUACUCUAUGUGAGCAGAUAUAAGCAAUGAAUUUGUCUGAUACUCAUUCUUUUUUUUUCCAAGAAAUACUUUUUAAGGCUUAAAGAUGUAUCAUUUAACAGGAAAGACAAAAUUUUCUGCUCUUGUGCAGUUUAUACUCUGUUGAGUAGAACUUAUAUUCAUCAUGUUAGGGACAAAGAGAAAAACUAGCACUAAUUAUCUGCUUGAGAUAACUGCUAUGCUCCAGUAGUUUAAGAUGAAAUCCGUGGUCCAGUCAUCUGGAAUUUAGAAGAUCCAUUACCAUCACACUUCACAGAAAAGCAAUCAGCCACUAGUUAGUAAUUUUUGUUCUUCACAUUGGUUAGUUGAACAAACACCUCUGUCUUUUUCAAUGCUAAUCUAUGGUGAACACACCUACAGUAAUGUCAGCAAACAAAUUAAAAUGUAGUAGGACAAAUAAUCACUUUUAAUGUUUUUCAUGUUCUGUUAGUAUAAAAUCUCUAACUACUUUUAUUAUACAUGAUAAUAUAUGAUGUUUAAUAUUUCUUCUAUAUUUAUCAUGUUUUAUUUGCACAAGAGCUUUAAAAUGUACUUUUCUUUCAGUGUGUGUUCCCUGGUACAAAGGCACUUCAAAACGCAAUUUUAUUUUUAAUGUAAAAGUAAUGCCACCCAUUUUGUAAGCACAUAUAGCAUAAUACUUCCAAUGAACAAAACAACAAAAAACGUGAUCUAUGAGUAAAGACCACACAUAUAUUUACAGAAGGAAACCAUUACUCUAGAUUUCAAAGAGUUAUCUUUUGACUGGCUUUACAAGAUGACAUUAUUUGGAGAUGACUAUAAGAUGGGAAAAAGAGGCAGAAAUAUCAAAGUUCCAUAGUUGAAAAAAAAUUACAUGCACAAAGACAAAUACACAGAUGUAAAAACAUACACAGACACAGACAUAUAUAUGUGUGUGACAUUAUCAGGAAGCAAUACUAACACUUUCAUGUUUCUGCAGUGUAUUUGUUUCCUGUUUCUACCUAACAAAUUAUCACAAAUUUAGUGGCUUAAACAUUAUACAAUUAUGUUAAAGUUUUGCAAGUCAGAAGUCUGAUGGAUGUCACUAUGCUACAAUCAAAAAGUGUCAGCAGGACUGAGUUCUUCCUGGACACUAUAGUGGAGGCCCUAUUUCUGUGUUUUUUUUUUUGCAGUUUCUAGAGUACCCCACAUUCCUUGCCAUGUGACCCCAUUUCUAUAACUUCAAAGUCAGCAGGGUUGCGAUGGGUCUUUUUCUCAGUCUUGCAUUUAUCUGGUUCUCUGUCUUCUGCCUCCCAUUUCUACUUAUAAGAAUUACUGUGAUUAUGUCUGGGUCACCUGGAUAAUCCAGAAUAGUCUCCCCAUUAAGGAGGCUAUCAUAUAGUAUUUUUUAAUUAGCAACCUUAAUUCCAUCUCCAAGUUUACUAAGUAACCUAGCAUAUUCACAUUUUCAAGCAUUAAAAUGUUGACAUUUGGGGGGCCACUAUUCUGCUUACAUAUUCAUGGUUAGGGCUUUCUGUGCAAAAAAAAAAAAAAAAAUGAUGGGUUAUAAAGAUUCUGAAUGUUUUUCCACAGGCCCAUUUGCUUUUUACAUCCUACUGGUGUUUAACCUGGAGUCUUUUGCUAUUUUACGAAGAGUAUUGAAACAUGUCUCUCUGGAGUCAAAUAUUUCAUUUCAGACACCUCCCUUUAUGAUGUCAAUCUAAGGGCUGAGCUAAGGGAAAUAAAUGUGAUUAUUUAAACAUAAGGAUCAUUGAAGUCUUGUGUUCGUGACCCAUAAGAUGACCAGAUGCUUGGAAUAGAGCUUGCUUUAUUUCUUUUCUGUUACUUAGAACUUUUCAAUUAUCAAUGAAAGAACUAACAUAAACAUGUAAAAAUGUUCCCUUUAUCUUUUACAGUAGGUGGCCAAGGAGCUAGAUCACAAAGUAAAGAAUAAGGUUAUGCAUUGAAGACUGUCUAUAUAAAAUAUAAAUGCAAUCAUAAGUAGGAGCAUAAGUUGAAACAGCAAUAUUUUAAUAUAGAAAAUGGAGUAGAACAAACUACAGACUUAAACCUAGGAAGCAUAUGCAAAGUAUUACUCACUUCACUUUUCCUUUAUAGAGCCUUUGAUAAAAUUCUAAUAGGGAAGAGAAGCUUUUGUUCAACAGAUAAAACAGAAGUAGCUGUUCAGAAAGAGUACAUUCAGAGAGGAAAGAAAUGACUCCCCAUGGACCUAAAAUUUAGAAAGUAAAAUAAAAUAAAAGAUUUUUAUCUGAGAUAUUAUUGCCUUAGUCCUUUUUGGCCUGAAGACUUUAUAAAUGUUUGGGCCAUUUGCUUUGAACUCUGCAAAUUGAGUGGAGUGCUCUCUCUGUGUGAAUUCAACCAAUAAGUGCUAUUUGAUUAGUGUCAAAAUGUUCUACUAGUAACUAACAAAUCUGAAGAGAAAGCCAGUCACCUCCAAAUAAUUCAGGUCUGUGGUCAGAUCCUUUACACGAAAUAAAUAAAAGCCUCACAACUUCUUAAAUUCAGUUUGUUUCUGUCUGUGCUUAUAUGUCUAAAAUUAUCCUGAUAUAUCUGAAUGGUUGUAUAAAGAAUUCUAAUUUAUGCACAAAUCAUUGCUCUGUUAACAAUGUCUCACUAUGGCUCCAUAUU
rnacentral:lncRNA from 1 species